AGCGAACGCUAGCGGCAGGCUUAAUACAUGCAAGUCGAGGGGCAGCAGUUUUGUAGCAAUACAGAAGCUGGCGACCGGCAAACGGGUGCGGAACACGUACGCAACCUUCCUUUAACUGGGAGAUAGCCCACCGAAAGGUGGAUUAAUAUCCCAUAAUAUAACUGAAUGGCAUCAUUUAGCUAUUAAAGCUCCGGCGGUUAAAGAUGGGCGUGCGUCUGAUUAGGUAGUUGGCGGGGUAACGGCCCACCAAGCCUUCGAUCAGUAGCUGAUGUGAGAGCAUGAUCAGCCACACGGGCACUGAGACACGGGCCCGACUCCUACGGGGGGCAGCAGUAAGGAAUAUUGGUCAAUGGACGCAAGUCUGAACCAGCCAUGCCGCGUGGAGGAUGAAGGCCCUCUGGGUCGUAAACUUCUUCUCUUUGGGACGAAACCCCUGUUUCUACGGGGACUGACGGUACCAGAGGAAUAAGCACCGGCUAACUCCGUGCCAGCCGCCGCGGUAAUAC
rnacentral:rRNA from 1 species